UACAGAGGUCCCGAGCGUUGUUCGGAAUCACUGGGCGUAAAGCGCACGUAGGCGGCUUUCUAAGUCAGGGGUGAAAUCCUGGAGCCCAACUCCAGAACUGCCUUUGAUACUGGAGAGCUUGAGUCCGGGAGAGGUGAGUGGAACUCCGAGUGUAGAGGUGAAAUUCGUAGAUAUUCGGAAGAACACCAGUGGCGAAGGCGGCUCACUGGCCCGGUACUGACGCUGAUGUGCGAAAGCGUGGGGAGCAAACAGG
rnacentral:rRNA from 1 species